rnacentral:rRNA from 1 species
AUGCAAAACAUCAACCGGAUGACGAUCUCCAACACCACCAUGUCAAAGCUCCGCAUCGUGCUUGGACCCCCAGGUUGGGCUGACAUGCCAGAUGGGCUAUUGUAUUCCAUCAUGGUCCUGUUGGGUUCAACCCGCGACCUUCUUGCAUUCAUUGCCACCUGCCCCAGUUGGCGUUCCGCGUUCAUGUCAAUUAAGCCUGCCUUAGACAUGAUCUUCCCACCUGUUAUUUUUCGAAACUGUGCCGACCAGACAAGCCCAACUGACUCCAACAGCGGAAAAACAUGGGAGCUCAUUGAUCUUGCCUAUCCAAGUACUACAUUACGUUGGUUGAGCCCCCCAAAUAUUUUGGACACAAUGGAAUUUUUAAAAUGUUCUUAUGGUCAUGCUAUCUUCUCCUCCGGCAGAUCUCAUGUCAUUAUGGACGUGCUUAGUGGCAUUAUGGUUGCAGCUCCACCUUGCCCAUCUAUUCAGCUCUGCUAUAGAACAUUCAUAUUUCCAGAAGCAUGGCCGGAUUCAUAUCUGUUUGUCAGCGGUCCGCACUGCCUGUACGCUUGGCGAGUUGGGAGCCCCUCUUGGUUGCACUGUGAUUUUCUACAGGCACAUUUGAUCCAUGAGAUGGUGGCCUUCAAAGGCCUGGUCAUUGCGAGGAUAUGUCAAAAGCUGUACGUCGUGCAUUUGGCACCUCAGUUUCAUGUUGAGGUACUAAGAGUUGCUUGCAGCGAUAAUAUAAACCAUCCAAGCUUUCUGGAACGUUGGUGGCUUGUGAAGACAUGCUUCUCCUAUUUGGUCGUAACAGGCAAGCCCUCUCCAUCGAAUUUUCGACUGAACCUGCAAAGUACGUGA